rnacentral:rRNA from 1 species
AACGAACGCUGGCGGCAUGCCUAACACAUGCAAGUCGAACGAGACCUUCGGGUCUAGUGGCGCACGGGUGCGUAACGCGUGGGAAUCUGCCCUUGGGUUCGGAACAACAGUUGGAAACGACUGCUAAUACCGGAUGAUGACUUCGGUCCAAAGAUUUAUCGCCCAAGGAUGAGCCCGCGUAGGAUUAGCUUGUUGGUGAGGUAAAAGCUCACCAAGGCGACGAUCCUUAGCUGGUCUGAGAGGAUGAUCAGCCACACUGGGACUGAGACACGGCCCAGACUCCUACGGGAGGCAGCAGUGGGGAAUAUUGGACAAUGGGCGAAAGCCUGAUCCAGCGAUGCCGCGUGAGUGAUGAAGGCCUUAGGGUUGUAAAGCUCUUUUACCCGGGAUGAUAAUGACAGUACCGGGAGAAUAAGCCCCGGCUAACUCCGUGCCAGCCGCCGCGGUAACAC